rnacentral:rRNA from 1 species
GACGAACCGUCCAAACGUUAUUCGGAAUUACUGGGCUUAAAGGGUGCGUAGGCGGCGCGGAAAGUUGGGUGUGAAAUCCCUCGGCUCAACCGAGGAACUGCGCUCAAUACUGCCGUGCUCGAGGGAGAUAGAGGUGAGCGGAACUUAGGGUGGAGCGGUGAAAUGCGUUGAUAUCCUAAGGAACACCGGUGGCGAAAGCGGCUCACUGGAUCUCUUCUGACGCUGAGGCACGAAAGCUAGGGUAGCAAACGGGAUUAGAAACCCCCGUAGUCC